rnacentral:rRNA from 1 species
UACGUAGGGUGCGAGCGUUAAUCGGAAUUACUGGGCGUAAAGAGUGCGUAGGCGGUUCGUUAUGUCUGCUGUGAAAUCCCCGGGCUUAACCUGGGAACUGCAUUGGUGACUGGCAGGCUUUGAGUGUGGCAGAGGGAGGUAGAAUUCCACGUGUAGCAGUGAAAUGCGUAGAGAUGUGGAGGAAUACCGAUGGCGAAGGCAGCCUCCUGGGCCAACACUGACGCUCAUGCACGAAAGCGUGGGGAGCAAACAGG